rnacentral:rRNA from 1 species
AACGAACGCUGGCGGCGUGCCUAACACAUGCAAGUCGAACGGGGUUAAGGGGCUUGCUCCUUAACUUAGUGGCGCACGGGUGAGUAACGCGUGGAUAAUCUGCCCUGGUAUCUGGGAUAACAUUUCGAAAGGAGUGCUAAUACCGGAUAAGCCCACGGGGACUUCGGUCCUUGCGGGAAAAGGUGGGGACCUUCGGGCCUACUGUAUCAGGAUGAGUCCGCGUACCAUUAGCUAGUUGGCGGGGUAAUGGCCCACCAAGGCGACGAUGGUUAGCUGGUCUGAGAGGAUGAUCAGCCACACUGGAACUGAGACACGGUCCAGACUCCUACGGGAGGCAGCAGUGGGGAAUAUUGCGCAAUGGGCGAAAGCCUGACGCAGCAACGCCGCGUGGGGGAUGAAGGUUUUCGGAUUGUAAACCCCUUUCGACCGGAACGAAUCUCCUCCUGGUAAAUAAUCAGGAGGAUCGACGGUACCGGGAGAAGAAGCCACGGCUAACUCUGUGCCAGCAGCCGCAGUAAGAC